AGCACAGAGCAGAGGCAGGGAGGGCUUAAUUCGGGGCUCCGGUGGCGGGCCUCGCCGGCCGUGUGCUCCGGCGGCGAACUCGGGCGAUCGAUCUCGCCACGGUAAUGACGUACGGCGCUCCGAGGUCCAGCGCUCCAUCCCCGCGCCACCAUUCCCCACCUCGGCGCCACGCCCGGCGACAGAUCCGCAUCCGCCGACGCCGGGCAGGAGAACUCCAGCCUUCAGGUUCAGGGAAUGAUGGGGUCAAUGGCAAGUAUUGCUCCAAGUGCCAGGUCAACUACAGCGAUGGGACUUGAAGAUCAUGUCAACAACUUUUCCUCGCCGUCGACGGCCACCGCGUGCAAGGAGGGAGACGCGCUGAACUCUCCUCCCUGCCGGCACUCCCGCCGCCCGCCGCCAUCUCUGCCUGGCUUCCCCUUCACAGUGGCUGCGCCGUUCGCUUCCUUCCCCAGAGGCCACGGCCUCCUCCUCACAGAACUGCCUCCUCUAUGGAUGAUGAUUUGGGCUAUGUCAAGAUUAUUAGGACGAGAAGUAAGAUGAGCUUGCUAUUGUCAAGAUGAUUGGGGCUUUGCUAGGCACAAGUGCCUCUUGUUGGAAUUUGUCCAUCUGUAGGAGAAUCUCCGUUGUCACCGGAUCCAACGAACCAAGGCCAGAAUGUAGAUUUUCACCUUGAAGAGCAGUCCGAGCAUAUCCGAGCAAUGCCUUCAACAAGGUAACGAUGUAAAAACAUUGCCAUUGGCAGGUAUAACUAACACGGGUGAUGGGUCAGACCUAGGCUUUCACCUUGGAGCUCGAGACCGGGUGCUUGAGUAACACCACCAUCGACACCACUCAUGUGUUGUCGCCACCACUUUUUAGCGAUCCCAACAACUAGAUGCGAUGUGCGACCGCCACUACUGCACAACCAUCUCUCCGCCUCAAGUUGUCACCCAUAGUUUGCAUCUCCCAGCCGAAGCCAACCACUGGAUCUAGAGAGAGGAACCCUCACAAAGAUCUUUUGGUGGCCACCGCAGUCAGCAGCGUGUCCGCCGCCACAGGACGGAGUGGUCACCACAAGGACUAACACCGUUGGCGGAGCACACCGCCGUCGACUACCACCUUGUCGAAGGGAACCCUGCUCAGGCCCGUCCGCCACUGGGUCGACAUGGCCAGAGCUGGACCAUGAAAGACAUAUCACCAUCGCUGACAUGCGCUCGUGUGGAGCACAGCCGCUGCUAGAACAGAAGCGCCAGAUCAGUGCUAUGCCUCCUGACCGAAGCAUUGCGCCCACCCCGAGCAUGUCCUCCGCCGCAGGCCGGAGUGGUCACCACAAUGACCAACACCGUUGGUGGAGCACACCACCGUCGGCUACCACCUCGCCGGAGAGAACCCUGCACAGGCCCGUUCGCCCCUGGGUUGACAUGGCCAGAGUUGGAGCAUGGAAUACAUAUCACCAGCGUUGACGUGCGCCUGUGCGGAGAGCAGCCGCUGCUAGGUCAAAAGUGCACAACCGCUAGAUCGACGUCGUGCCUCUUGACCGAAGCACUACGCCCAUCCCGAGCACGUCCGCCGUCACACCUCCACCACGCCGCCACACCGCAGCCUCGCAUCUGUGCCACCGUCGGAAACCCGCGGUCGCGGCACCGCGCACCAUGUUGAGGCUCACACCCACGCAAAGUCAGGACGUCCUGCGCCGCGAGCCAACCCCGCGAGAGGGAUGAGAAGCCUUGCCGCCCCCGGCGCCGCACUCUGGCAGCACCCUUCGGCGACGGCGAUGGAGAGGAGGGGAUGGGAGGCGACCAAGUUUUGGCGGCGCUAGAGCUCCCCCGGGAGUGGCAUGUGACCUAUGUUUUUAAAGCGUCCCUAAGGCGACGCCUAGGCGUCGAAGCGCUCCCCCUCCGCUUUGGAAAAUCGACCGCUUUGGGCGCCUAGGCGUCCAAAGCGCCCGCCUAGGCGCCAAAGCGCCCCCCCUCCCUAAGGCGGUAAGGUGUCGCCUUAAAAACAUAGCAUGUGACGAUCUAUUUUUUGCGGCUGCUUGCUGAACUUUCCUAAGGUUAGUUAAGUAGAACUAGAGCCACAAGUUGCAAGACUAAAAAAAAUCUUACCACACCUUAAGAGUGUAUGUCAUGUAGGGCCAUAAUGUGGCAAAAGAAUGUUUAAAUAGCAGGUUAUGGCAUAUAGCGGCGACCUUUAAGUAGAACUAGAGCCACAAGUUGCAAGACUAAAAAAAUCUUACCACACCUUAAGAGUGUAUGUCAUGUAGGGGCAUAAUGUGACAAAGAAUGUUUAAAUCUCACCACUGCUAUAGCUGGGCUAUAGCGGUAAAUUGUACAUGAAAUCAUUUAGCGGCAACAUGCUCAAACAGCUAUAGUGGAGCUAUAGCGGGCUAUUUAAAACUAUGGGCAAAACACAUCUUGCCUGAGGUGUGGCUUGAACCAAACAACCACCUAAGAGUAUCUACAAUCCUAGUUGCCUAAUUUGGGGCCCUAUGCUCCCGCGGACAUGGUCGGGUGCGUCCGCGUCAGUGACCGGGCACACCCCUUUUGUCCCUGUCCACAACCAUAAUCCCCAUAUGUCGGCACCCAAAUCCAUACAUAACAAUGCAUAGGUACGUAUAUCAUCAUACAAAAGCAUAAACAAAACAAUCGGACAUAGAUAGGGGAAUCUGACAUAGAUAAGUUCAUACAACUCCAUCCAAAAGGGCCGCUGGAGUUCAUACUUAACUAAAAUGCAAGAUUAAAGAGUAAUUAAACAUAGAGAGGCGGCCAGAGUUCACCACUAACCUCGCCGAUCGCUUCCCCUUGGGGUCUCGGGAGCGGCGGUUGUCCUCGGCGUUGGCGACGGGCGAAGCAUCCUUGUCCGUCAUGUCGCUAUCCGAGGAGGAGCUCAUGAUCCCCGCCAUGCGUCGGGCAGCGCGGUUCUGCUCCGCCGCGAGCCAUGCGGCUCUCUCCGACACCACCGCCCUUUGCCUCGCCAACCUCUCAAACUUCUCCGCAAAGGUGUACGGACAACAUAGAUAGGGGAAUCUGACAUUUUUGUGAUGCCGAGGGCAGGCGCCCAUCUCCGCAAAGGUGUACGGACGACAGAUUGGAUAGCGGAGCGCCUCGAUAUCGUUGAAGGCGGGCGACAGCGGCCCGAUGCAGAUAUGUAGGACCUACAACUGGAGCGGUUCGACACGGCCUGCGCCACAAUCUUCAUUGUGCGGCUAUAUGCGUGCUCCUCAGUCCCCGGCUGUCGCUGUCGCAGCCACAGGUUCGGGAUGCGGGCACUAGCACUCAACGCCGCCCAGGGAGGAGCAGGUGCUGGCGGUGUCGGGCGCCACUUGUCGCCCUACGACCGCGGGGCGCCCCAGAGCUGCUCCUGCCCAUCCUAGCCGCUAGCGACACUGUGGACAAGGAGCUCCCGCCCCGGCCCAUUUGUGAGCGGUGGAGGGUAAUACGAACGAGCUUGGCCUAGUCGAUCUCGUUGGAGCCGCUGUCGGAUGCACU